GGUGGGAAGAGCACCAGGCUGGCACUGUCCUUGACAGGGCACUCUGCCCACGACCCUGCAAUGGCAAGAAGAUGGUGGCACGGAGAAGUUGGGGUGGGAAAGCAGGUGUGGGAGAACAACCAAUUUUGCAAAAGAAGAGUGGAAGAGACUUGUCCAUCCUCCACUUAUGCCACAGAAACCCCAGAACCAUGCUGCGGGAGCCCGAAGACUCCGCCAGCGAAAGCAGAAGCACUGCAUAGAGACGGUUGAUGCCGCUGUCAAUGGCGCUGUUGUUCUUGUUGAGCGAGGACGGCGGGCUGCAGUUCUGCUUGAGCGCAGCGUCUUCUUCCAGGUCAGUGUCAUCGAUGAGGGGGAUGUGGGGCUGGGAAUCUU